rnacentral:rRNA from 1 species
AUUGAACGCUGGCGGCAUGCCUUACACAUGCAAGUCGAACGGCAGCAUGGAGAGCUUGCUCUCUGAUGGCGAGUGGCGAACGGGUGAGUAAGGCAUCGGAACGUACCGUGUAGUGGGGGAUAACGUAGCGAAAGUUACGCUAAUACCGCAUACGCACUGAGGUGGAAAGCAGGGGAUCGCAAGACCUUGCGCUAUACGAGCGGCCGAUGUCAGAUUAGCUAGUUGGUAGGGUAAAGGCCUACCAAGGCGACGAUCUGUAGCGGGUCUGAGAGGAUGAUCCGCCACACUGGGACUGAGACACGGCCCAGACUCCUACGGGAGGCAGCAGUGGGGAAUUUUGGACAAUGGGCGCAAGCCUGAUCCAGCAAUGCCGCGUGAGUGAAGAAGGCCUCGGUUGUAAG